UAAGGUAGUUAUAGCGAUGGGGCUCACCUCUUACCAUUCCGAACAGAGAAGUUAAGCCCAUUAGCGCCGAUGGUACUACAUCAGUGGGAGAGUAGGUCGUUGCCUUUU
rnacentral:rRNA from 1 species